CGGUCGCAUGCCGUUCGUUUGUGUGAGCUGCUUGAUCGUGUGGUUUUGUGUUUGCUUUAAUGAAAUGGGACGUAGUUAGCGUGCACAAAAGUGCCAGAAGAUACCUUGUGUUUCGUUGCAAACUCGCCGUAUGCGUGGCGCGCGAGGCAAACAUGGACCAACGAUUUUUGUGCCGUGGCCUUUGUGUCGGGUUGUCGUGCAAAGUUGGGUGGACAUCGCAAAGAAAUCAUUCCUAUUGGUAGCGUGCCUCAGAUCGUCCACUACGCAGCGGCAUGUAUGCUGGGAGUAACAUCGUCGACGCAGCACCGGCAACUUGGAGAGCGUCGUGCCAUUGAAAAGUGGUGAGGCCGUGACCCACAGCAGUGUCCACAUGAUGGCAGGGAACCUGUGGCCCUGGCUACAGCAGCACAGCGUGUAAUCUGGAUGUCACGUCAGGUGAACGAUCUUAUCUGGCCUGAAGUCCUAUGGCGGCAAUGCACGACCGCAUUGGGGAGGCUGAGGUUCAGGGCAAGAGCCUUUAUGGAAAGGGCAGUAACAGGCACAAGAAGGACCCAGUGAAGGAGGGAUUGGAUCCAGUUCAUCUGAAUGCUGUAAUUGGUUACAUCCUCCAGCAAGUUCAGGACGACAAAUGUGCAGCUCAAAAGCAG
rnacentral:lncRNA from 1 species